rnacentral:rRNA from 1 species
CAGCACAGGAGAGCUUGCUCUCUGGGUGGCGAGUGGCGGACGGGUGAGGAAUACAUCGGAAUCUACUUUUUCGUGGGGGAUAACGUAGGGAAACUUACGCUAAUACCGCAUACGACCUACGGGUGAAAGCAGGGGAUCUUCGGACCUUGCGCGAUUGAAUGAGCCGAUGUCGGAUUAGCUAGUUGGCGGGGUAAAGGCCCACCAAGGCGACGAUCCGUAGCUGGUCUGAGAGGAUGAUCAGCCACACUGGAACUGAGACACGGUCCAGACUCCUACGGGAGGCAGCAGUGGGGAAUAUUGGACAAUGGGCGCAAGCCUGAUCCAGCCAUACCGCGUGGGUGAAGAAGGCCUUCGGGUUGUAAAGCCCUUUUGUUGGGAAAGAAAUCCAGCUGGCUAAUACCCGGUUGGGAUGACGGUACCCAAAGAAUAAGCACCGGCUAACUUCGUGCCAGCAGCCGCGGUAAUACGAAGGGUGCAAGCGUUACUCGGAAUUACUGGGCGUAAAGCGUGCGUAGGUGGUCGUUUAAGUCCGUUGUGAAAGCCCUGGGCUCAACCUGGGAACUGCAGUGGAUACUGGGCGACUAGAGUGUGGUAGAGGGUAGCGGAAUUCCUGGUGUAGC